rnacentral:tRNA from 1 species
AGAAACUUAGGUUACAUUUAAACCAAGGGCCUUCAAAGCCCUAAACAGAGGGCCCCCUMUAGUCUCUG